rnacentral:snRNA from 1 species
GUGCUCACGUUGGCUGCACAUAUACUAAAAUUGGAAUGAUUCGAGAAGAUUAGCAUGGCCUCUGUGCAAGGAUGACAUGCAAAUUCAUGAAGGGUUCCAUAUUUUU